rnacentral:siRNA from 1 species
UAUUCAAGACUGUAACCAAAUA